UGAUGGCAAGCCAGUUGUCAUUUUGCAUUUGGUCUGCUAGUAAAACCUGCUGCUAACUUGAGCAUGCUGCUGCCGUGGUCUUCACUGGGUCAUCUUUUGUAAGUCCUCAGAGUUGCAGGGACAUGGUGGGAUUGUGCUACGGUGCAGGUAACACGAGAGAUGCAACGCAGUAUUGGCCCAUAUAGAACCAGAGGAGCUGAGGACUUGAGCAUAACAAGAAACCAAAAGCUCCUGUUGAAAUCCCGUGCUAUGAUUUGAUCCCUUAGAUGUGGCAGUGGAAGAGACCACUUCAGAAGAGACCGGCAGACCAUGGCGUCACUACAGAGGAAAGCACACAGUGGGUGUCUAGACUAACAGUAACAACCUCAUGUGCUGAUGGCACCACAUCCACAGACCACAUGUGUUCUGUCCAACUGAUGUCAACAGAGUUAAAGGCAUCCGUUUUUUAGCACAAGACAUGAAUCCUUAAACUUCAUGCCGUCCAGAUGUGAAUAAGUAACUUUAGACUGCUACUUUUUGUUUUCCUGCCCACACUCUAUUAUUUGCUUUGUACAUACUUUUAUUAAUA